CAAACACUUGCUAUGGACAAAGACAAACUUGAACAUUACAUUAAGAAUGAGAUGGAGGAGCAGUAUGGGGAACGGUAUGCUCAGAAAGUCGAGGACAGGCUGCUGCAUUAUCUCCAUGAGCUAGAUGCUGUGUUACAAGGAGAUACCUACAUUGAUAAGAUCCUGAAGAAACAGAGCCCUGUGACUGAAGAGGAGAAGCUACUUUUAGAGGUAAUACGCUCUGACUCCACCACCAUAGCUGCGACCCUGAAGAAGCUGCUGCACUGCGAUGCUGCUUCCUGUCGUCAGUCGUCGAUAUCUCGGUCGCCUCAACUCUUUAAGUCGGCUCCUUAUGAAAGCUCUUCAAAGGCUCCUCUCAAGUCAGCAGAAAGCCAGACUCCUCCAGAUGUUCAUCCAGAGGAGGCUCCUUGCAACGUGUCCAAAGACGGUGACAGUUUUUCGGACAGGAGCUCAGACAUUAGAGGACAUCAGCAACCAGAGGAGGAAGAUGAGGUGAACAAGAGAGUGGAGGAAGAGGACAGUCAGGGAAGCAGCACAUGUGUUCAGGAGGCGGCCUCCACCCCUCAGUUCUGCUCCAAACACCAGCGAUGGGUGAAGAGCAUCCUGCUGGGAUGCUCGGAAGAGCUUCUCCUUCAGGCCAACGUUUCUUCAUCUCCCCUGCUCUUCCCGUCGUCAUCUUCUACCUCUUCAUCACAGGACCUCACGCCAUCUGACCUCAUCCCCUGUCCGCCCGAUCAGCCACCUUUGCAGACCCCCAGCCCUCCUCGCGCAGCAGUCCAAGCAUCCAGAACAGCAAAACCCAAAUACAGGCGCAGCUCCGGGUCACUCGGAUCCUCAGGCGACACCUCACAAGCACAAAUUCUGCCUCAGGCCUCGUCUGCUCGGGGCUCUCCACUGCCUGCUCUGCUGUCACCGGUGGUCCGACUGGUGAACAUCGGCUCCUUCGAGACGAGCUGUAAACACCAGCACGCAUCACCAAAGCAGCUUCUUCUGGCAGCUUCUUCCAGUUCGGAGAUGCUAAGUUCUCCACACCAUCACACCUCAGGAAACGUAAAAGACAAAAACAGUUCAUCUACCUCUGCCAGGUGUCAAACCCCGACUGAACGGAGAAAGCUCAGACGGGUCUGCAGUACCAACAGACACAAAGAGGAUUUGGAGGCAUUCACUCAAAACCCCCAGCAGCUUGUUCAGGACCCAAGUGCCUCUCAGAUGGGUGUUCCAGCCACAGCCAGUGACAUCAGUGUCUCUGGACCUCCUCAGAAAGGUGCUCAGUCAGAGAGUUUGUUCUCAGCCUAUGCUGCCAAUCAAAUCACACCAUCUUCCAAGUCAUGUAAAAAAGUCGUCCCUCGGAGCUCUCUUCGCCAUCGUCAGCCACAAAAUAACAGCAGACCUCGAUCAGAAACCGCCCGACGUUCCUCACGCUCCUCCUCUGCCGCAGGCAGGUCCAAAACCAGCCGAGGACUCAGAGCUCAGCUGAGGCUAUCGCUGCCCAGUCAGGGUGUGCUGCUGCACUCCAAGCUGCUACAACCCUACGUGAGUCUUACCAGGUUGAGCUCUGAGCAGUGUCACCUAUCGACCCAAAGGACGGCCUCAGCCGGGCAGGAAGAGCUCGUGGAGCAAGACAGCGACAGCGAGGAAAGGAGGAAGGAAGAGGAGGAAGACUUAGACUCUUCCUUCGAUGUGAACGCUCUUUUCUCCACCGAUUCCUCAAGCAGUGACGGAGAGGAGUCACCUGACCGUGACCCUGAUUAUAGACCUCACAUCAAAAAGAAAAGACUUCUGUUGGAGUAUGAAAAUGCAAGGGUGCUCAGUCACGGUGACGGCAGUUGAACUAAUUUAUCCUACUCGAGUACUCGAGGAUUAAAUCAAGUUUUUAGAGUAUUUUUAGAUGCCGCGUGAAGAUACAGCCAUCAGUGCUCUCUAAUGAUCUGUCUGUUCUUGUGAGCUAACAUGGUUCCUCUAUGCUAACUGAAUGUAGAUGUGCAAAACACAGAACAUAGAAUUGUUUUAAAUAGAUUUGUCUCCCUAUUAAAAUCUGUAGAAGGUAGCACUCAAACACGUUUAACUGAAAGGAAAAAAAGCUUCUUGUAAAUGUUUGUAUGGUGCAGCGUAUUGUAGCAGGUGUGUAUCGAGUGUUCUGGUUUAUGAUAAUAGGUCUCUGAUUAUAUAAGUGAGAAUAAAUAACCCAGAGGGGAUCGUUGUAUUUUCGUAAUGUGUUUUGUUUGGAUCCGUCAGCAGGUCCAACAUUUCAGGACUUUUACCCCACCUGGAAGUCCAGACCGAGGUAAAUGUUUCUGAUUAUAUAAUUUCCAUUUGCACAGCCAGCUUUGGCUUCCCAUUUUCACUUCACAUGACAUAAAAAUGAAGACACACUUUUUUAACCCUCUAUUAAAUUUAAAGUUUUUCUCAAAACAUUCUCCAAGUGUGGAACCAGCUUCCUAUAGAAAGCACAAAUUUCUUCUAUUUGCGUGCAAUAACAGAAUCAUUUCAGAAUAAAACCAAAAAUGACCAGUGCAAACGUUUUUACUGAGCCACAGCACAAACCACUGCUGUGCAACGAUGUGCUCUAACUUUGUAAUGGUAAAAGCUGUAAAAUCAAGUUACAUCUGAGGGUUUUCUUCAGUUUACACACAGUAUAAAACCUCAGAAAGAGCUUUGAGCUGAUACCCCAGCACACGAGUGUGUGAC
ensembl:lncRNA